UACGGGAGGCAGCAGGGGGAAUAUUGCACAAUGGGCGAAAGCCUGAUGCAGCUAUGCCGCGUGUAUGAAGAAGGCCUUAGGGUUGUAAAGUACUUUCAUCGGGGAGGAAAAAACAAAACUAAUAAUUUUAUUUCUUGACGUUACCCGAAAAAGAAGCACCGGCUAACUCCGUGCCAGCAGCCGCGGUAAUACGGAGGGUGCUAGCGUUAAUCAGAAUUACUGGGCGUAAAGAGCACGUAGGUGGUUUUUUUAAAGUCAGAUGUGAAAUCCCUGGGCUUUAACCUAGGAACUGCAUUUUGAAACUGAAAUACUAGAGUAUCGUAGAGGGAGGUAGAAUUCUAGGUGUAGCGGUGAAAUGCGUAGAUAUCUGGAGGAAUACCUGUGGCGAAAGCGGCCUCCUAAACGAAUACUGACACUGAGGUGCGAAAGCGUGGGGAGCAAACAGGGAUUAGAUACC
rnacentral:rRNA from 1 species